rnacentral:rRNA from 1 species
AGGGAGGCGAAGCCGCGAGGCGGAGCAAAGCCCAAAAAUAACGUCCCAGUUCGGACUGUAGUCUGCAACCCGACUACACGAAGCCGGAAUCGCUAGUAAUCGCAGAUCAGAAUGCUGCGGUGAAUACGUUCCCGAGUCUUGUACACACCGCCCGUCACACCAUGGGAGUCGGAAAUGCCCGAAGUCAGUGGCCCAACCGCAAGGAGGGAGCUGCCGAAGGCAGGUCCGGUGACUGGGGUGAAGUCGUAACAAGGUAGC